AGCAGUGAGGAAUUUUCCGCAAUGGGCGAAAGCCUGACGGAGCAAUGCCGCGUGGAGGACGAAGGCCUGUGGGUUGUAAACUCCUUUUCUCAGAAAAGAAUUUAUGACGGUAUCUGAGGAAUAAGCAUCGGCUAACUCCGUGCCAGCAGCCGCGGUAAUACGGAGGAUGCAAGCGUUAUCCGGAAUGAUUGGGCGUAAAGCGUCUGUAGGUGGGUUGUAAAGUCUUCUGUUAAAAAUCGGGGCUUAACCCAGUUUAAGCAGUGGAAACUUAUAACCUAGAGUACGGUAGGGGCAGAGGGAAUUCCCGGUGUAGCGGUGAAAUGCGUAGAUAUCGGGAAGAACACCGACGGCGAAAGCACUCUGCUGGGCCGAAACUGACACUGAGA
rnacentral:rRNA from 1 species